rnacentral:ncRNA from 1 species
AGCCGUCAUUGGAAUGGCAAUGACGAAGAACCAAAUGGGGUUAGCAAG